AACGAACGCUGGCGGCAUGCCUAAUACAUGCAAGUCGAACGAUCACUUCGGUGGUAGUGGCGCACGGGUGCGUAACGCGUGGGAAUCUGCCCUUGGGUUCGGAAUAACGUCGGGAAACUGACGCUAAUACCGGAUGAUGACGUAAGUCCAAAGAUUUAUCGCCCAGGGAUGAGCCCGCGUAGGAUUAGCUAGUUGGUGGGGUAAAGGCCUACCAAGGCGACGAUCCUUAGCUGGUCUGAGAGGAUGAUCAGCCACACUGGGACUGAGACACGGCCCAGACUCCUACGGGAGGCAGCAGUAGGGAAUAUUGGACAAUGGGGGCAACCCUGAUCCAGCAAUGCCGCGUGAGUGAUGAAGGCCUUAGGGUUGUAAAGCUCUUUUACCCGGGAUGAUAAUGACAGUACCGCAAGAAUAAGCCCCGGCUAACUUCGUGCCAGCCGCCGCGGUAA
rnacentral:rRNA from 1 species